CCCUGGCUCAGGAUGAACGCUAGCGGCAGGCUUAACACAUGCAAGUCGAGGGGUAUGUUUCUUCGGAAGCAGAGACCGGCGCACGGGUGCGUAACGCGUAUGCAAUCUACCUUUUACAGAGGGAUAGCCCAGAGAAAUUUGGAUUAAUACCUCAUAGUAUUACGACUCGGCAUCGAGAUGUAAUUAAAGUCACAACGGUAAAAGAUGAGCAUGCGUCCCAUUAGCUUGUUGGUAAGGUAACGGCUUACCAAGGCUACGAUGGGUAGGGGUCCUGAGAGGGAGAUCCCCCACACUGGUACUGAGACACGGACCAGACUCCUACGGGAGGCAGCAGUGAGGAAUAUUGGACAAUGGGCGCAAGCCUGAUCCAGCCAUGCCGCGUGCAGGAUGACGGUCCUAUGGAUUGUAAACUGCUUUUAUACAGGAAGAAACACCUCUACGUGUAGAGACUUGACGGUACUGUAAGAAUAAGGAUCGGCUAA
rnacentral:rRNA from 1 species